rnacentral:rRNA from 1 species
ACAGCCCAGAUCACCAAUUAAGGCCCCUAAAUAAUUACUAAGUGUGAAAGGAAGUGAUAAUGCAUAUACAACCAGGAGGUUGGCUUAGAAGCAGCCAUCCUUUAAAAAGUGCGUAAUAGCUUACUGGUCAAGUGUUGUCGCACCUAUAAUGUUAGGGACUAAGUAAUUUGCCGAAGUUGUGAGUCUUUUUGACGGUAGGAUAGCGUUCUAUAUAAAUUUGAAGUAAAAGUGUAAGCGAUUAUGGAUUAAAUAGAAGUGAGAAUGUCGGUUUAAGUAACGAAAAUUUUGGUGGGAAUCCAAUACCCCGUAAACCUAAGGUUUCCUUCGCAAGGUUCGUCCGCGGAGGGUUAGUCAGGUCCUAAGGUGAGGUUGAAAAACGUAAUCGAUGGAAAACAGAUUAAUAUUUCUGUACUACAUUAAGUCAUACCAGGGUUGACGGAGGAGGCUAAGUUGGCCAAACAUUGGAUGUUUUGGUUUAAAAUUUUAAGGUGUUGAGGAAAUUAGUGGUAAUGGCGCUAUUCUGAGCUGAGAAUUGAUAAAUAGACACUACGGUGUUGAAUUAACUGAUGUCACACUUUCUAGAAAAUUCCUAGCGGUGGAAGUUUAAUGACCUGUACCGUAAUCCGACACAGGUGGGUGAGUAGAAUAUACUAAGGGGCGCGAGUUAUUUCUGCUUAAGGAACUCGGCAAAAUAGCUUUGUAACUUCGGGAUAAAAAGUGCCUUGUUUGGUUUUACAAGGUUGCAGUGAAUGGACCCAAACGACUGGUUAUCAAAACCACAGGUCUCCGCUAAGUAGAAAUACGAUGUAUGGGGGCUGACGCCUGCCCAGUACUGUAAGGUUAAAGAAGUUGGUUAGUUAUACGAAGCCGAUGACAUAAGCCCCAGUGAACGGCGGCAAUAACUAUGAUUGUCCUAAGGUAGCGAAAUUCCUUGUCGGGUAAAUUCCGACCUGCACGAAAGGCGUAACGAUUUGGGUACUGUCUCAAGCAGAAGCUCGGUGAAAUAGAAUUAACUGUGAAGAUGCGGUUAACUUGCAUUUGGACAGAAAGACCCUGUGAAGCUUCAAGGUAAUUUGGUAUUGUUUUCUUAUUUUUUUCGCGCAGUAUAGGUGGGAGACAAAGAUACUUUUUUUUCGGGAAAAGUGAGUCGUAAGUGAGAUACCACUCUAAAAAAAUGAGAAAUCUAAAGGUAUUUCUUUUUUAUAGUAGUAUUAUCGGAGUACUUGACAGUGUCAGACGGGCCUUUUUACUGGGGCGGUAGCCUCCUAAAGGGUAACGGAGGCGCACAAAGGUUUUUUCAAACUAUACGGAAAUUUGUUGUUGAGUGUAAAGGCAUAAAAAAGCUUGACUGUAAGACUUACAAGUCGAACAGGGACGAAAGUCGGUCUUAAUGAUCCGACAGUUCUGCAUGUGAAGGCUGUCGCUUAACGGAUAAAAGUUACUCCAGGGAUAACAGGCUGAUCUCCUCCAAGAGUUCACAUCGACGAGGAGGUUUGGCACCUCGAUGUCGGCUUAUUGCAUCCUGGGGCAGUAGUAUGUCCCAAAGGUUAGGCUGUUCGCCUAUUAAAGCCGUACAUGAGCUGGGUUCAGAACGUCGAGAGACAGUUCGGUCCAUAUCCGAUGCAAGCGUUAGAGUAUUGAGAGGAUUUUUUCCUAGUACGAGAGGACCGGAAAAAACACACCAAUGGUUUACCAGUUCUUGUGCCAAUGGGAAAUGCUGGGUAGCUACGUGUGGGUGGAUA